rnacentral:rRNA from 1 species
GACGAACGCUGGCGGCAUGCCUAAUACAUGCAAGUCGAGCGAACAGAUGAAGUGCUUGCACUUCUGACGUUAGCGGCGAACGGGUGAGUAACACGUAAGGAAUCUACCUAUAAGCGGGGGAUAACAUUCGGAAACGGGUGCUAAUACCGCAUCAUAUCUUCUUCCGCAUGGAAGAAGAUUGAAAGACGACUCUGCUGUCACUUAUAGAUGACCUUGCGGUGCAUUAGUUAGUUGGUGGGGUAAUGGCCUACCAAGACGAUGAUGCAUAGCCGACCUGGGAGGGUGAUCGGCCACAUUGGGACUGAGACACGGCCCAAACUCCUACGGGAGGCAGCAGUAGGGAAUCUUCCGCAAUGGGCGAAAGCCUGACGGAGCAAUGCCGCGUGAGUGAAGAAGGCCUUCGGGCCGUAAAACUCUGUUAUAAGAGAAGAACAAAUUGUAGAGUAACUGCUACAGUCUUGACGGUAUCUUAUCAGAAAGCCACGGCUAACUACGUGCCAGCAGCCGCCGUAA